AGCCAGAUUCUUCCCUCUAUCAUUACUUCCAUGAUCCUUCUGAACUCUCGAACUUUCGAUCUCGUCUGCUGUGCUGGUACGAUCAGAAGAAGAGAGAUCUGCCCUGGCGCAGACUGGCGGCGACGGAGGAGGACGCAGACGUCAGGACCUACGCGGUGUGGGUGUCGGAGGUGAUGCUGCAGCAGACUCAGGUGGCCACAGUCAUCGAUUACUACAACAGAUGGAUGA